AUCAACUUUCGAUGGUAGGAUAGAGGCCUACCAUGGUUUUAACGGGUAACGGGGAAUUAGGGUUCGAUUCCGGAGAGGGAGCCUGAGAAACGGCUACCACAUCCAAGGAAGGCGGCAGGCGCGCAAAUUACCCAAUCCCGACACGGGGAGGUAGUGACAAUAAAUAACAAUACAGGGCUUUACAGUCUUGUAAUUGGAAUGAGUACAAUUUAAAUCUCUUAACGAGGAACAAUUGGAGGGCAAGUCUGGUGCCAGCAGCCGCGGUAAUUCCAGCUCCAAUAGCGUAUAUUAAAGUUGCUGCAGUUAAAAAGCUCGUAGUUGAAUUUCGGGACCAAUAUGUCGGUCGUGCCUCGGUACGUACUGGCAUCGUUGGUUUCUCCCUUCUGACGAACCAUGAUGUCAUUUAUUUGGUGUCGUGGGGAAUCAGGACUGUUACUUUGAAAAAAUUAGAGUGUUUAAAGCAGGCUCACGCUUGAAUACAUUAGCAUGGAAUAAUGAAAUAGGACGUUUGAUUCUAUUUUGUUGGUUUCUAGGAUCGACGUAAUGAUUAAUAGGGAUAGUUGGGGGCAUUAGUAUUCAAUUGUCAGAGGUGAAAUUCUUGGAUUUAUUGAAGACUAACUACUGCGAAAGCAUUUGCCAAGGAUGUUUUCAUUAAUCAAGAACGAAAGUUAGGGGAUCGAAGACGAUCAGAUACCGUCGUAGUCUUAACCAUAAACUAUGCCGACUAGGGAUCGGAUGAUGUUAAUUUUUUAAUGACUCAUUCGGCGCCUUACGGGAAACCAAAGUGUUUGGGUUC
rnacentral:rRNA from 1 species